rnacentral:snoRNA from 1 species
CAUCUUGACCUGUCUGGCACCUGUCUUUACACCUGUCAGUGACAGAGCACGCCCGAAAGUUCAAGAAAGACAA